rnacentral:rRNA from 1 species
GAGUUUGAUCCUGGCUCAGGACGAACGCUGGCGGCGUGCCUAAUACAUGCAAGUCGAGCGGACUAAUGGGAGCUUGCUCCCAGAGGUCAGCGGCGGACGGGUGAGUAACACGUGGGCAACCUGCCCUGUAGACUGGGAUAACACCGAGAAAUCGGUGCUAAUACCGGAUAAUAUUGAAGAUCUCCUGAUCUUGUAUUAAAAGAUGGCUCCGGCUAUCACUACAGGAUGGGCCCGCGGCGCAUUAGCUAGUUGGUGAGGUAACGGCUCACCAAGGCGACGAUGCGUAGCCGACCUGAGAGGGUGAUCGGCCACACUGGGACUGAGACACGGCCCAGACUCCUACGGGAGGCAGCAGUAGGGAAUCUUCCGCAAUGGACGAAAGUCUGACGGAGCAACGCCGCGUGAGUGAUGAAGGAUUUCGGUUCGUAAA